UUCUUCUUUUCGGUGAUAACAAUAUAUACGUUCGGGUGCAAGUGUCGUAGUCCAGUCGGCUUGCGCUUUUUCUAUCACUGCCUCCAGAUAUCUUGCAUCACUUAUGCCCGAUUAACUAGCAUACACAGGAGUGUUAUGAGAAAUGAUCUGAAAGUUGUCAUGUUUUACAGAUGCGGAGAAAGAUCACUUGCGCCACUCUCAUGCACUGCCGAAUUUUAUGGCAAGUCGAGUCUUCUUUCCAAUUAUGCGGCUGUCAUAAUGAACGCCACUUUCGCAGUGGUUAAGUUUUUUCAGUAAGCAAAGCCAGUCGUCAGUUGUGACUUGGAUAGUAUUGUGAACCCCUUGGCUCGGCCUCUACAUAUGCAGUGCUGUUCUGUGAGGCCCGAAACGUAGCCAGUACUCAGCGUGUUCUUUGCGUGGAUUAUGGUCGUCGCACAAGACGAAGAUUUUGAAGUAGCCCGUGUAUAUGUUUAAUAUGAAAUCAGGUUCAAACUUGGGCAGGUUGGUGUGACAUACUAAAAGCGUAUGUUUCAUGACAGGGAAAUCCUGGGCGCUGAGGAGCGCGACGUUGCGUGCAACGAGCACGAGCUGUGCAAUAACUGUGCAACGAGCUUUAUGUGUGGUCUCAUCUUGCAUCUUACCCAAUAUGCCAUUAAGCGAAAGAGACAACUUCGUGGCACUAUUAUGUUUGAAGUGGAUACUGCGAUAAAAAGGCGGCUACGCCGGGGCAAGGAACGUGCAUCAAAAGGAUCAAGAGCCGAAGAUGCAUCUCGCCAUUAAAUCGAGAACCAGGGAACUGUGUUUGACAGUGCGACUAAGUCAAGUCAAAAGUGAUUUUUUUUCUGCAAAUAAUCUGCAUCAAAAGAAUCGAGAACUGAAGAUGUGUCUCAACAUUAAAUCAAGAGAACCAGGCAACUGUGUGUGUCAAGUCAAGUCAACAGUGAAACAUUUUUAUGCACAAUAUCAAGAGUGAAAGUGUUUUCGU